rnacentral:Y_RNA from 1 species
GGCUAGUCCGAAGGUAGUGAGUUACCUCAAUUGAUUGUUCACAGUCAGUUACAAAUCAAACUGCUUGUUCUACUCUCUCUCUCCCCUUCUCAUUAUUACACUUGAUUAGUUUUUU